rnacentral:sRNA from 1 species
GUCCGACGCCUCAGUAAUUAAUGAUGCGAGGAUGACUGACGUUAUUUGGGAAUGAUACAGGCACUUGGGGUGUGUAGCGAGUAGUAUCCCGCGAUCUAGCCCCGAAUUCUGCAACAAAAAUUCAACAGUUCUGAGCGAGAGGAACAGUGUCUUUUGCAAAAAACCCCAAGGAACAUUGGCGAGGAUCACCAUGCACGAAGGU